AUUUUGAUUCUGAUAUGCUACAAGCUUGUAUUAAUUCUGGAGUUUAGCAUUAUGUUUUGCCUGAAACCAUUAGGCAAGUAGUUUGGUUUCACAUGGAAGACUAUCAAAACCAUAAAACCAUACUUAUGGUUUCAGUUAUAACAUAAUGCUAAAUUCCACAGUUAGGAUUAUAUAGGAUUGAACUUGGAAUUGUUGUGGUAUAGUGAUGUUGUACCAAUCACACUAUGUCUAAUUCACAUUUCAAUACUACAUUUGGGCUAAAUUAUUUUUUGUUUAAAGGUAGCAUAAUUGUGGUAUCUAUAAUUGUGCUAAGCAUGUAUUGUAAC
rnacentral:lncRNA from 1 species